rnacentral:rRNA from 1 species
GAUGAACGCUGGCGGCGUGCCUAAUACAUGCAAGUCGAGCGGACAGAUGAGGAUCUUGCUCCUCUGACGUUAGCGGCGGACGGGUGAGUAACACGUGGAUAACCUACCUAUAAGACUGGGAUAACUUCGGGAAACCGGAUCUAAUACCGGAUAAUAUAUUGAACCGCAUGGUUCAAUAGUGAAAGACGGUUUUGCUGUCACUUAUAGAUGGAUCCGCGCCGCAUUAGCUAGUUGGUAAGGUAACGGCUUACCAAGGCAACGAUGCGUAGCCGACCUGAGAGGGUGAUCGGCCACACUGGAACUGAGACACGGUCCAGACUCCUACGGGAGGCAGCAGUAGGGAAUCUUCCGCAAUGGGCGCAAGCCUGACGGAGCAACGCCGCGUGAGUGAUGAAGGCCUUCGGAUCGUAAAACUCUGUUAUUAGGGAAGAACAACUGUGUAAGUAACUCUGCACGUCUUGACGGUACCUAAUCAGAAAGCCACGGCUAACUACGUG